UUUAGGUCAGGAUAAAUUGCAGUGAUUUUGCAUAAUCUGUCCAGGGAGCUUUUCAAGACCAAAUGCUUCCUUAAUCAAGCUGUUUGGCAACGACAAUGCCAAGGUUCAGUUCGGCAAGGAAGCCCAACAACUUUUCUUAAUGACCACUAUGACAAGUAUUCUGGCUUGGUAAAACAAGAAAUUCUGACGGUGCAACCAGAUGUUGAUAAGGAGGUUAUCUGGUCCUCUUGACCAGUGAGGUUAAAAAACUUCUUCGCCAAAAUCUGAAAGUGUAGAUAUAUGCCUAAGUGUAUGAUAUCAUGGCAUUCACACGCUUCACUCCAUGUAAUACAUCAAACAAAGUGUUGCGAUGCAUGGGCCUUUAGCUAUCUUCGAAGCGAAUAAUAAUUGAUUAAUGUAUUUCAAAGAAAGAAAGGAGUGCAAUACAACCAGAAUGGCCAAUGUUGAAGAUCUCAAGUUUUUUUUUCAGAGUGAAGAGUACUCCAUAUAAAUUCGAUUGCAGAAGAAACAGUAAGUUUUAACUACUUGCUUUUUGACUUCUUGUAGGAGGGUGAGCAGAUUAGUCGUCAAUUAAUUCCUAACUUGUUUUAAUUUGGCUUAACCUCUGAUGCACGUGAAUUGUGAGGUAUUUUUUGUACGGGCAAGAUGAGGUUCUAAAGCUUUGUACCAAAUUCCAGGUUUGUGUAUUAAUGAAAUUGGUGUAAAAUUAACAGUUAUCUUCUCUGAAUUUAGAAAGGCGGAGUUCAGGUUUGUGUAAUAAUGAUAGUCAAGUUAUUCCACCUCCUCUAUCAACAGUUGGUAUUCCAUCCUUGAAGGCGUUCCUUUAGAAGGGCAGAGUUCUAGAAACACCGAAUCCUCGAUGAAGAGUCAAGUUCAUUUUGCAACUUUUUCUUUCAUUUAGUGAUAUAUUUACAUUUGCAUCACAGGUGAGAUAUUGAACCCUACGUAUAGUUUAGUUUACAUGACCGAUGUUAAUAUUUUGAUACAUUGUUUAAGUAAGGAUUAUCAUGAAUGUUAACUGAUGAAAUCUAUGCGUCCAAGUUGGCAUAAGAUCAGACUUCACUGUAUAUAAAUGAUUGUUGUUUGCAGGGGGUGAUCGUCACGCCACUGAGGAUAGCGUCGCCGUCGGAGCCGAGGCUGAUUGUCGACCGCCUGGAUCUGGGGGCGCCGCUCAGGCCAGGCGCCCGCACCAUGAUGCUGCCAUCUUCCUACGAGUCACUGCUAGCUGGAGUUGAUCGGUAACUGGUUGAUUUGGCCAUUAAUAGCUUACCCCGAUCUCUCUGUUUCACAUAGGUUAGCUCGGCUAGCGUCCGUCUUGAUGUUUUUCCUGAUGUUGUACAUUGUUUUUUGGGUCUUCUCUACAUAUAUUCGCAAGACAAAUAGGCCUACUAUAGCAUAGUCAAAAUUGGUAGCUCUAUCUAGAAAAGUUGUGAUACUUUUGGUGAAGUUUUCAAGUUGUGCAUUGUGGUAGUGUCCCUGCUUCAUCUAUACAACAUCUGUACCUCACUGCCAAGUUGCUGGUGAGCCGCAUCCACGCUAAAGAUGAGGGCGUCAAUUGCAUGGCCUUCUCAGUUUGUUCAAAUUGCAAGUUUGACUGAUUCCCUCUCUAAUUCAGGUUGUGAGCCCCUUUGAUUAAUUCCUUGCUAUAACUCUGUAGUGACAGUAUCAAGUUUCAAGGAUUUUGGGUCUAACUCUGUAUGAAUACUGUUUCUUUGCUGCAAGUUGGUCGAUCCAAUCUAAAAAACGAGACCAGACAGGCAAGCACCCCUCGGCAUAUUUUUAUAGAAGGACAUACCCAGAUUUUUAUAUUAUAAACAGAUGGACACAUUGUUUGAAGUAGUCUUGCAGUAGAUAGUGUUAAGAUGUGCUAUAUGGGAUGAUAUGAACCAAAUAGCAAAAGCAUUGCUGUUGCCUAUGCUACUAAAACAAUAUGGAUACAACAUUAGCUAAAAGCCUAUUUUUAUAUUUAUUCAUCUUCAGAUCAUUCAUUCUUUCUUUAACCUUUUAUUUUCUUCCUCAUUCUGUUCUUGAUUUUCAGGUAACAUAAUUGAUAUGGUUUAUCAUUCAAGGUGUAUGUUCACACGAAACUGUUUUUACAUGUCAUA